GAUGAACGCUAGCUACAGGCUUAACACAUGCAAGUCGAGGGACCGGCGCACGGGUGAGUAACACGUAUCCAACCUGCCCUUUACUCGGGGAUAGCCUUUCGAAAGACAGAUUAAUACCCGCUGUCACGGAUGGGGAUGCGUUCCAUUAGGUUGUUGGUGAGGUAACGGCUCACCAAGCCUUCGAUGGCUAGGGGUUCUGAGAGGAAGGUCACCAACAUUGGAACUGGGACACUGUCCAAACUCCUACGGGAGGCAGCAGUGAGGAAUAUUGGUCAAUGGGCGUUAGCCUGAACCAGCCAAGUAGCGUGAAGGAUGAAGGCUUAUGGGUCGUAAACUUCUUUUAUAUAAGAAUAUGUAUUAUAUGAAUAAGGAUCGGCUAACUCCGUGCCAGCAGCCGCGGUAAUAC
rnacentral:rRNA from 1 species